rnacentral:lncRNA from 1 species
GAUAGGCGGUUCUAUUUUGUUGAACAUCUGAAAGAGUCGGCUAAGCAAACUUUGGCUACACAUGUAGGACUUCACGGUUGAGUCAGCACCGGCAAACUCAAGUAACAGAUCUGCAACCUUUUCAAGAUAUUCGCGAGCCACGUCAGCAUUCCAUGGUGAUACCAUGUGGGACAAGAGUCCUGAUGACGUGGCACUCCCUGGUCUAGCGUUAAGAACUCCGGAACCCGAGAGUACAGCUGAUGCUGUCUGAGAUGCGACUCCCGAUGUGGAAGCCCCUACCUCGUUGGAUGCCACCACCGUCGUUUUCUUAUUAGCGAAUUUAUGUGUGGUCUUAGUCACCACCUCAGUGUUAGCAUUUUCUCGUCCACGACUCGAAGCCUCUGCAAAUUCAGCCAUCAGGAAAUCUAGACCGUUGGAUUUCUUCUCAUUAGAAGAAUGCAAAAGAGGAAGUAUGCUUUCAUGUUUCUCCAAUCCCGUAAGAUGCCGAACAUACUCAAGCUGACCUGAAAAAUGUCGUGACGGUGGUUCCUUAUCCAACAAACUUAAAAGUGGUCUGACGUUUUCUUGCUGAGCUGUAGCAGAAUGCCCGUUCGAUACAAUAUCCAUAGAUUUUCUAGGCCUGUCAAUAGACAACCUUCCGAAAUUAGAAAGUCUUUGUUUAGGUUCUGCAUCUUGUGAAGGGUCAGUAAAAUCUGGUGAUUUUGAAGUAACUGGAGCUUCAGCACUAGUGUUGCUUGAUUGAUGUUGUUUAUCUGUUUCUAGUGUGAAGAAUCUUGAAUCGGGUGACUGAGAAGAUGAAAGUCUAGAAGACUCUUGAGGAUGAUCGGUUACAGAAUGUUUGACUUUAUGGUAGUCAGAAUGAUCCAAGCCGUUGGUU